rnacentral:tRNA from 1 species
AAAGGGAGACCUAAUUCAGGUAGGAGACGAAAAAAAAGUAGUCGCUACCAAGAAUCAAUCCCAAAAGGUCGGAGCGAGGCGAAAUUGGCUUUCAAACUAGGUUCUGGGUUCAAACAAGACCUGAAUCAGGAACAAGGGCUAUUAGCUCAGGUGGUUAGAGCGCACCCCUGAUAAGGGUGAGGUCCCUGGUUCGAGUCCAGGAUGGCCCACCUGUACAGGUGGCAAAAAGAAAGAAAAGAAGCGAGGAAUCAGCACCUUAUCUUACUGACAUAGUAAGAGAGAAUGCUGGCUCUGAGUAAAGAGUCCAGAGGAACCUUGAAAACUGCAUAGAACUAGGUGAAAAAGCCAAAAAAGAAGACCGCAAG